rnacentral:snRNA from 1 species
GUGUUAACAUCAGUAGUACAUUGGAAAAAUACAGAGAAGAUUAGCAUGGCCCCUGUACAACAAUGAAAUAGAAAUUCAUGAAGUGUUCCGUAUUUUU